rnacentral:rRNA from 1 species
UCCAGACUCCUACGGGAGGCAGCAGUGGGGAAUAUUGCACAAUGGGGGGAACCCUGAUGCAGCGACGCCGCGUGAGUGAAGAAGUAUUUCGGUAUGUAAAGCUCUAUCAGCAGGGACGAAGGUGACGGUACCUGCAGAAGAAGCCCCGGCUAACUACGUGCCAGCAGCCGCGGUAAUACGUAUGGUGCAAGCGUUAUCCGGAUUUACUGGGCGUAAAGGGAGCGCAGGCGGCGCGCCAAGUCUGAUGUGAAACCCCGGGGCUCAACCCCGGGCAUGCAUUGGAAACUGGCGGGCUGGAGUGCCGGAGAGGUAAGCGGAAUUCCUAGUGUAGCGGUGAAAUGCGUAGAUAUUAGGAGGAACACCAGUGGCGAAGGCGGCUUACUGGACGGCAACUGACGCUGAGGCUCGAAAGCGUGGGGAGCAAACGGGAUUAGAUACCCGUGUAC